rnacentral:lncRNA from 1 species
GUAGGUUAUUUUAUAUGAUGGAUCUAGGGAUCGAUUUUUCAAGUAGUAUAUACACGAUGUUAUAACUUAUAAUAAAUAUCUGAGAAGGAAUUUUUCGGUAACUCUGUAAAUACGGUGAAAUCUUCACAUGAAUAUCAAGAUGAAAUACUUAAAUAUAUUAAUUAUGUCUAAUUUUUAAUAUGUGUAUUAUUUCAAGAUUGAAAAUCAUAUCGAAGUAAUCAUAACGGCAUAUUUUCGUAAAUGAAAGUUUCAAAAUACUGAUAGAACCUUUAUAAAGAGAUAUCAAGAUACAUUAAAGCUUUAGAUUGCAAGUCAAGAUGGCAGACAAAUUGGACACCCGUGAAUCUUGACAGGUUUAUCAACAUUGAAUGAGAUGGAAUCAAUCGGAUUGGAUAUCAUCUUAACUAAAUCUUAAUAAAAUAUAGAAACGCAACACACUCUAGGUUUGUUCGAAAAUCCGGUCGGAGGGGAUGACUCGUUUUUGGCUGCAAAAGAGAAGCGAAUAGAGUAAACUGGAGGGCCAAGGAUUGUUUUCAUGUCUUCGCCCUUAGUAUUUUUCUGAGCUGAUGCCCAACGAAUAGCAACUUUAAAUAUACCAAUCUCACCUAAAUCAGCAUUAUCAAGAGAUAAAGUGCAUUUUAUUAUUUUAUUGUUACUAAUAUCAAGGAAUGAAUCAGAAUGAAGUGUCUGACAUGCAUUUAAACCAAUGCAAAUCUUAAUCCAAGGUAAUCAUUCUGAGACAUUGUUUAUUUUUGCUUCAUAAAAUAGUGAACAAAGAGUCUCAACUUGGUUAUUCUUCUUAAUAAAUGCAAUACGCUUACAUUUUAGCACCAAUAAAUCAUAUUUUUCAGCACAAUAAAGAAGGGGAAACACAUUUGAAAUGUUCAAAUUGAGUUCAUCCGUAUAUAUCUAUUUUAGCAUGUCUUUAAAUGUAGAUGGAGUAACAUCGGGAAGAUAUAUCUUCGUUUCCUCCUUGCUUGACUCUUUAAAGCCUCCGUUGAACAUCCUUCCAAAGACAGGACUUGCAGAAACUAAUAUAAGCUUAUGAACAGAAAGGGUCACGGAAGAAGAUACUUCUAUAUUUUCUCCAACUAUAAAUGAAACGUCAGAGAGUGUUUCUGAAUCAAGCAGAGCUCUCAUUCUCACCGAUAAAGUUGUUAGUGCAUCGUAGUCCAUAUUUGACUUAUUUAAGGUAGACCGGAACAUUUUAUUAGGGAAAGUCAAACUUUGUUACCUCAAUAAUUAAAAUCUUUGAAGGUACUAAUUAAAUGAUAAACUUCUUAAAUACGGUGAAAUAAAGUCAUGAAUAUCA